GGGCUGCAAGGAAAUCUGGCGCGGUUCAAUACCUCGUCUAGCCUGGGUUCCAGCAUCUAAUUUUUUUUUUUAACUGACAAACUCAUUUCUCUACCGGGACAGGAUGCUGUGCUGGCUGGAAGUUCCAUUUCUACAGCAAGAAUCCUAUCUGGAAACACAGAAGUUGUCCUCUAGCCACAGCAGCUCGAACUUUUUUGAUUGUUGUUGCUGCUUUCUCCCAUCACCCCCAUCCCCUUUUGACAAAGAUCCAACUGUAAAAAGUCUUACGUAACAGUUCAGGACUACUUCGGUUCUUUUACUGGAUGCAGAAUCUACCUACGUUCGGCUGAAAAGCAGAUGGCAGAAUCCACAGAGGAAAGAGAAGGAAAGGUAAACUAUUUUUAUCAAGAAAGGGGACCUGUGGAAAGCACAGGUGCAAGGACAGUAGAAAAUAACAGGCUCCAGGACAUGGUGGAAGUGGUCAAUUUGGAUGGCAUACACAUCGUCCUAAGAGAAUGAAGAUGAUGAAUGAAAUUCCAGCUUACUCCUAUUCUCUCAGGCUGUACCUCAACAGGAUCCAACUGGAUCCUGUGAUCCCAUAUCCUGUCAAGGGGCCUGGCAUGGAGUAUGGAAUAAAUAUUUU